GCAGGUAAUAUAAAUGAGGGUUCUUUUUACUCAUGUAGGUUUAUCUGCAGGAGAGAGCACCAAAGUCUUGUUGCGUUGUUUCCGUGGGAAUCUAGCACGAAAUGAUGUUACAUAGUGUAUUACUUUCGCUUUUCUUAAUUGAUGCAGCAACGGCUCGUUACGUUGCCCUAACCAGUACGAACAAGUCGGAACGUGUGGAAGCAAGAGAUUUGCCUUCAACUUGCAGGCGGCCUAUGUACAAUAUCUAUAGUGGCUGCAAAACAGAAUACAUUCUCCGCUACAUUUACAAUGGGUAUUACGGAUAUUGCGAAGAGGUCGUUUCCUGCGAAGAGCUUACGGAACACGGAUUUUCUUCUCGUGAAGAGUGCUUGAAAACCUGCAAUCCAAGCUCUCCAUGCCUGAUGCUUGGGUGGAAAUAUGGCGGUUCCUACGUAGCCCGGUCCUACUAUGACGUAGACAGCGACGAUUGCAUCGAAACGAUGGGCUACUUUUCUUCUUCGACACUUUAUCCAAACGGAAAUUUAUUUCCAACGGCACAACAAUGCCGAUCAGCAUGUACGCCCUCAUUUCUAAAAUGAGCCAAGUGUUCUAGAUGACGGGAUAUUUCCUUCAAGCACUUAUCAUAUGCAUGCGAAGCAAUGUCUACAGACACUGAACUGCAGUAGCACCUGUAUUACAUGAGUUAAAGCAAACCUACAUUAAAGACAAAUGUUUUCCGGGGAAGAAUAGAA